UACGUAGGGUGCAAGCGUUGUCCGGAAUUAUUGGGCGUAAAGAGCUCGUAGGUGGUUCGUUACGUCGGAUGUGAAAAUCUGGGGCUCAACCCCAGACCUGCAUUCGAUACGGGCGAACUAGAGUGUGGUAGGGGAGACUGGAAUUCCUGGUGUAGCGGUGUAAUGCGCAGAUAUCAGGAGGAACACCAAUGGCGAAGGCAGGUCUCUGGGCCAUUACUGACACUGAGGAGCGAAAGCGUGGGUAGCAAACACG
rnacentral:rRNA from 1 species